UACAGAGGUCUCAAGCGUUGUUCGGAUUCAUUGGGCGUAAAGGGUGCGUAGGCGGCGCGGUAAGUCGGGUGUGAAAUCUUGGAGCUUAACUCCGAAACUCCAUUCGAUACUGCCGUGCUUGAGGACUGGAGAGGAGACUGGAAUUUACGGUGUAGCGGUGAAAUGCGUAGAUAUCGUAAGGAAGACCAGUGGCGAAGGCGGGUCUCUGGACAGUUCCUGACGCUGAGGCACGAAGGCCAGGGGAGCAAACGGG
rnacentral:rRNA from 1 species